UAUAUUAACAAAUGGAUAACUCAUAUAAGGCAAUAAUAUGGUUUGCCGUUUCUACUAGAUACCAAUAAUAUCUAACUAUGAGAUUAAACUUAGAGAAU
rnacentral:ncRNA from 2 species